AUUGAACGCUGGCGGCAUGCCUUACACAUGCAAGUCGAACGGUAACAGGUCUUCGGAUGCUGACGAGUGGCGAACGGGUGAGUAAUACAUCGGAACGUGCCUAGUAGUGGGGGAUAACUACUCGAAAGAGUGGCUAAUACCGCAUGAGAUCUACGGAUGAAAGCAGGGGAUCGCAAGACCUUGUGCUACUAGAGCGGCCGAUGGCAGAUUAGGUAGUUGGUGGGAUAAAAGCUUACCAAGCAGACGAUCUGUAGCUGGUCUGAGAGGACGAUCAUCCACCCUGGGACUGAGAAACGGCCCAGACUCCUACGGGAGGCAGCAGUGGGGAAUUUUGGACAAUGGGCGCAAGCCUGAUCCAGCAAUGCCGCGUGCAGGAUGAAGGCCUUCGGGUUGUAAACUGCUUUUGUACGGAACGAAAAGCCCCGGGUUAAUACCCUGGGGUCAUGACGGUACCGUAAGAAUAAGCACCGGCUAACUACGUGCCAGCAGCCGCCGUAA
rnacentral:rRNA from 1 species